AGAGCAAGCGGCAGUUAUGGCGCAUGCGCAGCAGCAGGGGUGGCCGCAGUCAAGGGAUUUGUACAGCCCUAUAGGAGACACCUCCAGAGAAAGUAACAACUCUCAGUUGAUUAGCUGAGGUAUGUAUGUCAUUUAUGGCAAUACCUGUCUCCAUCCCCUCCGUCUUCUUCUAGGAGACCAAUUUUGUAAAUUGCUACUUUUCUAACAACAGUGGCACAGGUGGCCCAGCAUUCUCCC
rnacentral:lncRNA from 1 species